rnacentral:rRNA from 1 species
UACGUAGGCAGCGAGCGUUGUUCGGAAUUACUGGGCGUAAAGAGUGUGUAGGCGGUGCUCCCAGUCUGUUGUGAAAUCUCCCGGCCUAACUGGGAGGGUGCAGCGGAAACUAGAGUGCUAGAGGGUGGGAGAGGAAAGUGGAAUUCCUGGUGUAGCGGUGAAAUGCGUAGAUAUCAGGAGGAACACCGGUGGUGUAAACGGCUUUCUGGACCAUAACUGACGCUGAGGCACGAAAGCGUGGGUAGCAAACAGG